GCCAGACUCCUACGGGAGGCAGCAGUGGGGAAUAUUGCACAAUGGGGGAAACCCUGAUGCAGCGACGCCGCGUGAGUGAAGAAGUCAUUCGUGAUGUAAAGCUCUAUCAGCAGGGAAGAAAAUGACGGUACCUGACCAAGAAGCCCCGGCUAACUACGUGCCAGCAGCCGCGGUAAUACGUAGGGGGCAAGCGUUAUCCGGAUUUAUUGGGUUUAAAGGGUGCGUAGGCUGUGAGGUAAGUCAGCGGUGAAAUGCCCCCGCUCAACGGGGUGAAGUGCCAUUGAUACUGCCUUGCUGGAAUGCGGAUGCCGUGGGAGGAAUGUGUGGUGUAGCGGUGAAAUGCAUAGAUAUCACACAGAACACCGAUUGCGAAGGCAUCUCACGAAUCCGCGAUUGGCGCUGAUGCACGAAAGCGUGGGUAUCAAACAGGAUUAGAUACCCUCGUAC
rnacentral:rRNA from 1 species